rnacentral:tRNA from 1 species
GCGGGUAUAGAUAAAAGGCUACAUCGCCUGCCUUCCAAGCAGGAAGUAUGGGUUCGAGCCCCAUUACCCGCU